rnacentral:rRNA from 1 species
CAGUAGCCGCGGGAACACAGAGGGUGCAAGCGUUAAUCGGAUUUACUGGGCGUAAAGGGCGCGUAGGUGGUUAUGUAAGUGAGAUGUGAAAUCCCCGGGCUCAACCUGGGAACUGCAUCUUAUACUGCGUAGCUGGAGUGCAGUAGAGGGUAGCGGAAUUUCCGGUGUAGCGGUGAAAUGCGUAGAUAUCGGAAGGAACACCAGUGGCGAAGGCGGCUACCUGGACUGACACUGACACUGAGGCGCGAAAGCGUGGGGAGCAAACAGUAUUAGAUACCCCUGUAGUCCCUGUCUCUUAUAC